GACGAACGCUGGCGGCGUGCCUAAUACAUGCAAGUCGAACGAACGGAUAAAGAGCUUGCUCUUUUGAAGUUAGUGGCGGACGGGUGAGUAACACGUGGGUAACCUGCCUCACAGCUGGGGAUAACAUCGAGAAAUCGAUGCUAAUACCGAAUGUGCUGAACAUCAUAAGAUGUUCAAGUGAAAGACGGUUUCGGCUGUCACUGUGAGAUGGACCCGCGCUGGAUUAGCUAGUUGGUAAGGUAAUGGCUUACCAAGGCGACGAUCCAUAGCCGACCUGAGAGGGUGAUCGGCCACAUUGGGACUGAGACACGGCCCAAACUCCUACGGGAGGCAGCAGUAGGGAAUCUUCGGCAAUGGACGAAAGUCUGACCGAGCAACGCCGCGUGAGCCGAAGAAGGCCUUCGGGUCGUAAAGACGUCUGUUGUUAGAGAAGAACAUGGGUGAGAGUGACUGUUCACCCCUUGACGGUAUCUAACCAGAAGCCACGGCUAACUACGU
rnacentral:rRNA from 1 species